UACAGAGGGGGCAAGCGUUGUUCGGAAUUAUUGGGCGUAAAGGGCGCGUAGGCGGCCAACUAAGUCGGACGUGAAAUCCCCAGGCUCAACCUGGGAACUGCGUCCGAUACUGGAUGGCUUGAAUUCGGGAGAGGGAUGCAGAAUUCCAGGUGUAGCGGUGAAAUGCGUAGAUAUCUGGAGGAAUACCGGUGGCGAAGGCGGCAUCCUGGACCGACAUUGACGCUGAUGAGCGAAAGCUAGGGGAGCAAACGGG
rnacentral:rRNA from 1 species